AUCGCUGCGUUUCUGGGUUUCACCGGACCUGUGCCGGGAUUGAACAAUGAUUAUGAAAUUCGAAUGACGCCGGAGGAAUACACUGUUACCCCCAAAUGGGUUCCGUUUGAAACCACAGUUGCUUUCAAGCUUUUCGAAGUCUCGAGAAUCUUCGAAGCUUCCAUGAAAGGAGAGGAAGAGAACAUUGCUGAUAUUGUUCGUUACUAUAGAUCUGUUGAAAACUGUGAUUUUUUGCUUGUGAGGAGCUGUUCAGAAUUUGAACCAGAAUGGUUGAAAGUUGUCGGAGAUAUUCACCGGAAACCGGUUUUUCCGGUGGGUCAACUUCCGACUACACCGUAUGAAGAUGACAGCACGAAGAUCGAUGCAUGGAGAGAGAUAAAGCUAUGGCUUGAUAAGCAAGAAAAGGGGAAAGUUAUUUACGUUGCAUUUGGGAGCGAGGCAAAACCGAGUCAAAAUGAACUUACUGAGUUAUCUCUUGGGUUAGAGCUUUCUGGGUUGCCAUUCUUUUGGGUUUUAAGAAUUAAAAGAGGGGAGUCCGAUGAUGAAUUGAUUCAAUUACCAGAAGGUUUCGAAGAACGAACAAAGGGAAGAGGAAUAGUGUGCACGAGUUGGGCACCACAACUCAAGAUACUGAGUCAUGACUCAGUGGGUGGAUUUUUGACUCAUUCAGGAUGGAGUUCAGUAGUCGAGGCAAUACAAUUUGAAAAGUCAUUGGUUCUCUUAACAUUUUUGGCUGAUCAAGGGAUAAAUGCUAGGCUUUUGGAGGAGAAGAAAAUGGCGUAUUCGAUACCGAGAAAUGAUCAAGACGGAUCAUUCACUCGUGACUCAGUGGCCGAGUCACUGAAUUUGGUACUCGUUAAAGAAGAGGGUUUUAUUUAUCGAGAAAAGAUUAAAGAGAUGAAAGAUCUUUUCUGUGACAAGAAAAGGCAAAAUAAUUAUGUGGAGAAUUUGUUAAGUUUUCUUCAAGACUAUGAAAAGAUUAAAGCAUGAAAUUGUAAGAAACAUUUAGUUUUUCGUACACCUUAAUUGUGAUUUCAGAUCAAUUCAUGUACACUUCAAUUGUUCUAUGAAGUAUAAAUAAAUCAAAUUUGGCCAAAAGAGUGUGGUGCACUCCUUGGCCCUCUCUUAUAAGUAAAAGAUUUUGUGUGGGUUACACUUUUCUGCUAAAAAUAUAUGUCGCAUUUCUAAAAAAAUCAUAAUAAAGCAAAAAUGGUACGCAUUCUAGAUUUACGUGCUAGAAUCAAGUAUAAAUUGAUAAAUGUGAUUGUGUUAACAUCAUGACACUCAUGAUAGAUUUAUAUGUCACACUCGUGGGUGCCUAAUAUCUUCCCACCAAAAAAAAAUUUUAAAAUGAUAUGAAUCCACUUCCAUCUGCUAUUGUGGAUAUUGUAGUAGGGAUAAUGCACAAGUACUCCACAAUUUAUUUUUAAAAUCUCAAAGAUACAUUUAUAUUAUACUAAGGUCUUAUUGCCCCUAAAUUUAUUUUAUUAAUAAUUAUCUACCCUUUUUCGGCCUACAUGGUACUAUCUUGUGGGUCACAUGUUGGUUGACUUUUUUUUCAAGCUAUUGACACGUAGACAGAAAAGGGGUAAAAAAUUAUUUAUAAAAUAAGUUUAGGGGUAAUAGGACCUUAGUGUAGUAUAAGUGUGUCUCUGAGAUUUCGAGUAUAGAUCCUAGUAUUUGGAGCUUUCAAAGCUCAUAGUUCAAAAGGGUCACACAAUUUCCUUCAUUUCUAUUUCUAAAAACAUUACCGUCUCCCAAAACUUUCCAAAAUCUAGCCUCCUACUUAAGUUGUGUAAAAAUUCCUCUGCCCCACGUCAAAAAGUUACCAAAAAAUGCAUAGAACGCCAAUGAUUUGCUCAAGAUGGACUCAAAAAAACUAAGGCUAGAUUUUCGAAGAUUCAACUCUGUUAUUGUGUUCUUUCUGUUGCAUCAAAAUUCAACAUUCCAAUGAGUUAUUUUAGCAUAUUCCCCGUUAUGUAUCUGGGUUCCACCAGACUUGUGUCGUGAUUGAACAACGACUAUGGGAAUUCGGAAGAUGCUAGAGGAAUUCAUCGUUUCCCCAAAAUGGGUUCCAUUUGAAAGCAGGGUUGCUUUCGGAGUUGAAAUGGAUGAAAUUUUGUGACCCUUACCAACUAUGAGCUUUGAUAACUCUAAAAAGGGAAUCAUAUGACCAAAAGCUACUCAUGGAAAUACUGCAAUAUGAAACUUUUUGCUAUUUUCACGAAUAAAUUUUUGUGUCUGUGAUGCUAUUGGAGGUAUUUUAAUUAGCAACUAGUCAACUAUUAUCCAAAAGAUACCAUUUUCACAGGAUGGGGUAGUCCAAUUCAGUGCUUUCAUGACCCAUUUACAAGUUACAACACACCAAUUUUUUUUUUUCUGUUUCGCUAUAAAUAUGCCACAAAAAAUUAGUCUAUUAACUUUUGAAAAUAUUUGUAAUAUCUUGGAAUAACUGUAAAUAUUUUUAUUUUAAAAUAUAACGAAAGAUCAAAAUGAUCUAUUUCACAUCAAAGAUCCUUUUGCCUUGCUAAAAAGACACUUAAAAUGCAAUUAGAUUGAUAACAUUUUAGAAUCUUUUUAUUGGAAAAAACAACCAACUACAUAUUAAAAAAAUUGAUACUAAUUGAUUCGAUAAAACAAUAUAAGAAUAAGAAAAUACAAUUGGGAGUUGAAAAAUGAUUCUUUCUAAUCUUAAUAAUUGGACUGAUCUUGAGAUUCACGAAUUUAUAUAGUCCAUGAAACAGAGCUCUAUGUACAUCACAAAAAAUUAGUCUAUUAACUUUUGAAAAUAUUUGUAAUAUCUUGGAAUAACUAUAAAUAUUUUUAUGUCAAAAUAUAACGAAAGAUAUAAAUGAUCUAUUUCACAUCGAAGAUCCUUUUACCUUGCUAAAAAGACGCUCAAAAUGCAAUUAGAUUGAUAACAUUUUAUAAUCUUUUUCUUGGAAAAACAACCAACUACAUAUUAAAAAAAUUGAUACUAAUUGAUUCGAUAAGACAAUAUAAGAAUAAGAAAAUACAAUUGGGAGUUGAAAAAUGAUUCUUUCUAAUCUUAAUAAUUGGACUGAUCUUGAGAUUCAUGAAUUUACAUAGUCCAUGAAACAGAGCUCUCUGUACAAAAAUGGCGGAAAACGGAAAAAAAUUGCAUAUUGCAGUAUUUCCAUGGCUAGCUUUUGGGCAUAUGAUUCCGUAUUUAGAGCUAUCAAAGCUCAUAGCUCAAAAGGGUCAUAAAAUUUCAUUCAUUUCGACUCCUAGAAACAUUGAUCGUCUCCCAAAACUUCCACCAAGUCUUAUUCCCUUUUUCAAUUUCGUCAAACUUCCGAUGCCCCACGUGGAAAAGUUACCGGAAAAUGCAGAAGCCACCAUUGAUUUACCUUAUGAGCAAGUCAAGCAUCUCAAACUUGCUCAUGAUGCACUACAAGAAUCAAUUGCUAAGUUUCUCGAAGAUUCAGAUAUUGAUUUUAUACUAUUUGAUUUUGUCUCUUAUUGGCUUCCUUCAAUUGCUUCAAAAUUCAACAUUCCGACGGGUUAUUUCAGCAUAUUCGUCGCUGCAUAUCUAGGUUUCACUGGACCUGUACCGGGAUUGAACAACAACUAUGAAAUUCGGAUGACGUUGGAGGAAUUGACAGUUUCCCCAAAAUGGGUUCCGUUUGAAACUGCCGUUGCUUUCAAGGAGUUUGAACUUUUGAGGAUCUACGAAGGUUGUAAAGAAGGCGAGGAAGAGAACUUUUAUGAUAUUUCUCGUAUGUAUAAGACUUUUGAAAAUUGUGAUUUUUUACUUGUGAGAAGUUGUUUAGAAUUUGAACCGGAAUGGCUGAAAGUAGUAGAGGAUAUUCACCCAAAACCAGUGAUCCCGGUGGGCCAACUUCCGACGACAUCAUAUGAAGAUGACAACACAGAUAUUGACGCGUGGAGAGAAAUAAAAUUAUGGCUUGAUAAGCAAGAAAAAGGGAAAGUAAUCUAUGUGGCAUUUGGGAGCGAGGCAAAACUGAGUCAAAAUGAACUCACUGAGUUAUCACUAGGAUUAGAGCUUUCUGGAUUACCUUUUUUUUGGGUUUUAAGAACUAAAAGAGGAGAAUCUGAUAAUGAAUUGAUUCAACUACCAGAAGGUUUCGGAGAACGAACGAAGGAAAGAGGAAUAGUGUACACGAGUUGGGUGCCACAACUUAAAAUACUGAGUCAUGAUUCGGUGGGUGGUUUUUUGACUCAUGCCGGAUGGAGUUCAAUAGUUGAAGCAAUACAAUUCGAGAAACCAUUGCUUCUGUUGACAUUUUUGGCUGAUCAAGGAAUAAAUGCUAGGCUCUUGGAGGAAAAGAAGGUAGCAUAUCUGAUACCGAGAAAUGAUUGGGACGGAUCAUUCACUCAUAACGCGGUGGUUGAGUCACUAUAUUUGGUACUCCUUGAAAAAGAGGGUGAAAUUUAUCGAAAAAAGAUCAAAGAGGUUAAGAAUCUUUGCUGUGACAAGAAAAGACAAGAUGAUUAUGUGGAAAAUUUGUUAAGGUUUCUUCAAAAUUAUAAAAAGAUAAAAGUAUAAAAUAGGAAGUAACAUUUACAUUUGCAUGCAUUUUUUGAAGAAUUGUGAUUUCAUGAAUAAAGAUGUUUUAUUUUUCUUUUUAUGUACUAUAACAAAAUGUAUUGUAAAGGCGUAAAAAUUGCUUUGAUUUUUAUUUCACUACAUCAAAAAUAAUUAUUAGUGACAAUAAAAUUAAAUAAAUCGAGCACCAUUUUAAGAAAACUCAUUCACUAUCUCUAUCACUAAUCACCCUUUCUUCGUUGUCUCUCUCUCUCUAUAUAACCAUGGUUAGUUGUUAGUUGUCUCUCUCUAUAACCAUGGUUAGUUGUUAGUUGUCGCCAUCACCUCCCCCACCAUCUUGUCUUUCCUAUUCUCUUUCUCUGCCCCUACCAUGCAACACAAAAUACUAUUUUAACCCUUGGUCUUCCCAGCAUCUUGUUUGGAUGAUUGUUAUUCAUUCUAUCGUUGAUUUAAAUAUCAUAUUCUCUUUAUUUUGAAAAUAAUGAUUUGAUGCGAAAUUAAGAAAAUAAAGAAGAUUUUAAAUCUUGUGGUCUCAAAUUAAAUUUACGUCAAAUGUAUCAAAAUACACUUUGAUUUCGUUGUCUUAAACAUGUCAGGUAGAAACUUGAAUUACAUAUUGCCAAAAAAGAGUCAUUCUUUUUUUAAACGAACGGAAUAUUUUUUUUAUUGUUACUUAAACUUUAUUGUAUAGUAUUAUUUGAAUAAGUCAUUUAAUAACGAUGAAGAGUUUCAUUUUACCAAGACUCAGUGGAUGGAUUUUGACUCAUUCGGAAUGUAGUUCAAUAGUUGAAGCAAUACAAUUUGAGAACCCAUUGGUUUUGUUGAUAUUUUUGGCUGAUCAAGCGAUAAAUGGUUGGUUCUCGAAGGAGAAUAAGAUAUAUUCAAUACCAAGAAAUUAAAUGAUUGGGAUGGAUCGUUCAUUCUUAACGCGGUGAUCGAGUCACUAAGUUUGGUACUCGUUGAAAAAAAAGGUGAAAUUUACCGAGAAGAGAUUAAAGAGGUGAAAGAUCUUUUUUGUGACAAGAAAAAACAAGAUAAUUAUGUGGAGAAUUUGUUAAAUUUUCUUCAAAAUUUAUAAGAUGAUUAAAGCAUGAAAUGGGAAGAAAAACUAGGGUUUUUGCAUUUACAUUUCCUUAAUUUUGAUUUCAGAUCAAUUUAUAUACACCUUGAUUAUUUUAUCGGAUAUCAAUUAUGUCCACCACAAAGGUCACUCAUUAUGCAAGUGGAUUGACAAACAUGUGAAAAUAUCUUCUUUAUGAAAAAUCAAUCAGCCAACCAUCAAGAUAAAAAUACAGUACACUAAAUUAAUGACAAAUACUAAUAGACCUCUAACAGAUCACACAAAAAUGGCGAAAAAUAGCAAAAUGUUGCAUAUUGGAGUAUUUCCAUGGUUAGCUUUUGGUCAUAUGAUUCCGUAUUUAGAGCUUUCGAAGCUAAUUGCUCAAAAGGGUCAUAAAAUUUCUUUUAUUUCGACUCCCAGAAACAUAGAUCGUCUCCCAAAACUUUCCCCAAAUCUUACCCCGUUUUUAAAUUUUGUCAAACUUCCAAUGCCUUAUGUGGAAAAUUUGCCGGAAAAUGCAGAAGCCACUACCGAUGUAACUUAUGAGCAAGUCAAAUACCUCAAACUUGCUCAAGAUGGACUCGAAGAAUCCAUGGCUAAGUUUCUCGAAGAUUCAGAUCUUGAUUUUAUACUAUUCGAUUUUACUUCUUACUGGGUUCCUUCAAUUGCUUCAAAAUUCAACAUUCGGUCAGGUCAUUUCAGCAUAUACAUCGCUGCGUUUCUGGGUUUCACCGGACCUGUACCGGGAUUAAACAAUGAUUAUGAAAUUCGUACAACGCCGGAGGAAUAUACCGUUCCCCCAAAAUGGGUUCCGUUUGAAACUACAGUUGCUUUCAAGCUUUUCGAAGUCUUGAGAAUCUUCGAAGCUACCAUGAAGGGAGAGGAAGAGAACAUUGCUGAUAUUACUCGUUACUAUAAAUCAGUUGAAAAUUGUGAUUUUUUGUUUGUGAGGAGCUGUUCGGAAUUAGAACCAGAAUGGUUGAAAGUUCUCGGAGAUAUUCACCGGAAACCGGUUUUGCCGGUGGGUCAACUUCCGACAACACCGUACGAAGAUGACAGCACGAAGAUCGAUGCGUGGAUAGAGAUAAAACUAUGGCUUGAUAAGCGAGAAAAGGGGAAAGUGAUUUAUGUUGCAUUUGGUAGUGAGGCAAAAUCGAGUCAAAAUGAGCUCAUUGAGUUAUCACUUGGAUUAGAGCUUUCUGGGUUAUCAUUUCUCUGGGUUUUAAGAACUAAAAGAGGAGAAUCGGAUGAUGAGUUGGUUCAAUUACCAGAAGGAUUCGAAGAUCGAAUGAAGGGAAGAGGAAUAGUGUGCACGAGUUGGGCACCACAACUCAAGAUAUUGAGUCAUGACUCAGUUGGUGGAUUUUUGACACAUUCAGGAUGGAGUUCAGUAGUCGAGGCAAUACAAUAUGAGAAGCCAUUAGUUCUCUUAACAUUCUCUGCUGAUCAAGGGAUAAAUGCUAGGCUCUUGGAGGAGAAAAAGAUAGCGUAUUCAAUACCAAGAGAUGAUUGUGACGGGUCAUUCACUCGUGACUCAGUAGCUAAGUCACUAAAUUUGGUACUCAUUGAAAAAGAGGGUGAAAUUUAUCGAGAAAAAGUUAAACAGAUGAAAAGUCUUUUUUGUGACAAAGAAAGACAAGAUAAUUAUGUGGAUAAUUUAUUGUGUUAUCUUCAAAAUUAUAAGAAGACUAUUCCAUAAGAAGCGCAAAAAAAACUUGGUUUUGCUUUAUUAUUUGAAUAAUAUAAUAAUAAUGGUUAAUUUGUCCUCAAUUAUUUUAUUGAGUUUUAAUUAUUUUUUUAAAUAUAUAGGAAAAUAAUUGUCUAAACUAUUUAUAGUCUUUAUUGAGUUGAUAUCAUUGUAUUUAAAAGGCUUAAGUCAUAUGUAGCCAUUUAAAGUUGUCCGCAUA
rnacentral:lncRNA from 1 species